ensembl:lncRNA
CUUCCCCCAUAUGAGGAAACUUCCUCUUUCCUCGGUGAAGCGGUCAGAUGUUUCCUCGUGUGUCAGUCCAGUGUGAGUCUCGCAGUGAAGACGCUUGAUGAGAGCCAGAACACAGACGAUCUGAAGCAGCGUCACACUCUUCUGCUGGAGACUGGACUUUAGAGAAAUGAUGCUGAUCUUUGGACUGAUGCUGCUGCUGCAAACUGCUGCAUGUGUGGAGUGGAACUGCAGUUUUGAUAAAUCUGAUCCCUGUUACGCAGCUCUGGGAGACAAACUCAAUCUGCUGAUGGUGGACGCUAGUAAAUAUGAGCUGAAGAUAAUAAAGAGAAUAAACAACAACACAGCAGACGGUCCAGUUUGUAGAGUAAAAUAUGGCAGUAUGAGGGAAUGUAAUCUUUAUAAUAACAGACCUGAAGUGAACAUCAUUGAUGGGACUGUGAUAAUAAACCGUGUGAUCAGAGCAGAUUCUGGGAAUUACAGAUUAACACUCGUUGACUCAAACGGCACAGAAACAUCUAGAGAUCUUCAAGUGAUUGUUGAAGCUCCUAUUGGCUCAGUGGAAGUGUCAAUCAUCUGCUCCUCCAGUGGGGUGAUGAGGGUGUUCUGCUCCUCUGAGGGGGAUCAGCUCCUCUACAACUGGACUCUGAAUGGAGAUCCACUGAUGGAUGGAAACAGCAGCAUUGAUCUGGAUGAGGGAGCUGAUGGAGACAUCAGCUGCAGCGUGAAGAACCACGUCAGUCACACACAGAAGACCAUUAGACUCAAACCCUGUCCUGGUCUGGAUCGGUUCUGCAGUUUUGGUCAAUCUGAUCCCUGUUACGUAGCUCUGGGAGACAAACUCAAUCUGCUGAUGGUGGACGCUAGUAAAUAUGACCUGCAGAUAAAAAAGAGAAUAAACAACAACACAGCAGAUGGUCCAGUUUGUAGAGUAAAGAAUGACAGUAUGAGGAUGAGUCAAUGUGAUCUUUAUAAUAACAGACCUGAAGUGUCAGUCAUUAAUGGGACUGUGAUAAUAAACUGUGUGAUCAGAGCAGAUUCUGGGAAUUACAGAUUAAUACUCACUGACUCAGACGGCACAGACACAUCUAGAGAUCUUCAAGUGAUUGUUGAAGCUCCUAUUGGCUCAGUGGAAGUGUCAAUCAUCUGCUCCUCCAGUGGGGUGAUGAGGGUGUUCUGCUCCUCUGAGGGGGAUCAGCUCCUCUACAACUGGACUCUGAAUGGAGAUCCACUGAUGGAUGGAAACAGCAGCAUUGAUCUGGAUGAGGGAACUGAUGGAGACAUCAGCUGCAGCGUGAAGAACCACGUCAGUCAUGCACAGAAGAACAUUAGAGUCAAACCCUGUCCUGGACCAACUUCUGCAGCUGUGACCUCUAGUUUGACCUCUAGUUUGACCUCUGCAGUGACACAGACAUCAGAAUGUGGUCUGGAUCGGUUCUGCAGUUUUGGUCAAUCUGUUCCCUGUUACGUAGCUCUGGGAGACAAACUCAAUCUGCUGAUGGUGGACGCUAGCAAAUAUGACCUGCAGAUAAAAAAGAGAAUAAACAACAACACACAAGAUGGUCCAGUUUGUAGAGUAAAGAAUGACAGGAUGAGGAUGAGUGAAUGUGAUCUUUAUAAUAACAGACCUGAAGUGAAAGUCAUUAAUGGGACUGUGAUAAUAAACUGUGUGAUCAGAGCAGAUUCUGGGAAUUACAGAUUAACACUCGUUCACUCAGACGGCACAGAAACAUCUAGAGAUCUUCAAGUGAUUGUUGAAGCUCCUGUUGGCUCAGUGGAAGUGUCAAUCAGCUGCUCCUCCAAUCAGAGGUCAGUGUCCUGCUCAUCUGACGGGGAUCACAUCAUCUACAGCUGGACUCUGAAUGGAGAAAUACUAGAACAAGGACCAAUGAAUGGAAACACCACCAUUCAGCUAAAUGAGGGAACUGAUGGAGACAUCAGCUGCAGCGUGAAGAACCACAUCAGUCACGCACAGAAGACCAUUAGAGCCAAACCCUGUCCUGUGUCUGUGGUGUUUGUUCUGGUCUGGUGUCUCCAGAUGAUGGUUCUGUUCGGUCUGUUAGGAGGUUUUCACAUCUACAUGAGACACACGUCAGGAAAGAAACAGGAAGAUCAGAAAGUGAGAAUGAGAAGAUUUAGAGAGAGACAUGAACACACAGCAGAAGAUUCAUGAGAGCAGCAGCAGAUCUUCACAUCUGUGAGAAAUGAGUUCAGAAUCAGUCCAGCUUUCACCUGUCAACAACAGAUCUUAUAUAAAACCAAGAGAUUCAUUAAACCAGGAGAUAUGAAUUAACCAGAUUUUCUACAGUUUUAGUUAUGAAGAUUAUUUUCUGGACAGUUGUGUUUUUGUAAUAGUUUUAUUGCUUAUUUUAUUCAUUUGUCUUUCCUCUUUGAAUGAACUAGCAGUAUUUUUAUGUCAUUAUAUGAAACUCCUUCUGUUCAUCUGUGAUCAAACUCUUUUAUUUCUCUGAAUCAGAUCUGUCAGCUCGUGAACUCAUUCUGUGUGUUUAUUUUCACAUUUCUGCUCUUGCUCUUUUACUUUAUUCUUGAUUUGGUUGAUUUCUCUUUAUUUUCAGUGUCUGUUUAGAUGUUUUAUCUGUUUGAAGCUCUUCAUCCGUGUCUCAGUUUUGCAGCGUCUGGUGUUUUCUGACUGUGGUUUUGCUUGAAUUUGCAG